CCUACGGGGGGCAGCAGUGAGGAAUAUUGGUCAAUGGACGAGAGUCUGAACCAGCCAAGUAGCGUGAAGGAUGACUGCCCUAUGGGUUGUAAACUUCUUUUAUAUGGGAAUAAAAUGUUCCACGUGUGGGAUUUUGUAUGUACCAUAUGAAUAAGGAUCGGCUAACUCCGUGCCAGCAGCCGCGGUAAUACGGAGGAUCCGAGCGUUAUCCGGAUUUAUUGGGUUUAAAGGGAGCGUAGGGGGAUUGUUAUGUCAGUUGUGAAAGUUUGCGGCUCAACCGUAAAAUUGCAGUUGAAACUGGCAGUCUAGAGUACAGUAGAGGUGGGCGGAAUUCGUGGUGUAGCGGUGAAAUGCUUAGAUAUCACGAAGAACUCCGAGUGCGAAGGCAGCUCACUGGACUGCAACUGACACUGAGGCUCGAAAGUGUGGGUAUCAAACAGGAUUAGAUACCCGGGUAGUC
rnacentral:rRNA from 1 species